GCGCUUACUUCAGCAGCACAUAGACUAACAUUGGAAUGCUACCGAGAAAAUUAGCAUGGCCUCCAAGCAAUGACAACACAAAAAUUCAUGAUAUAUUCCAUAUUUUA